UGGGGAAUUUUGGACAAUGGGCGAAAGCCUGAUCCAGCAAUGCCGCGUGUGUGAAGAAGGCCUUCGGGUUGUAAAGCACUUUUGUCCGGAAAGAAAUCCUUGGCUCUAAUACAGUCGGGGGAUGACGGUACCGGAAGAAUAAGCACCGGCUAACUACGUGCCAGCAGCCGCGGUAAUACGUAGGGUGCAAGCGUUAAUCGGAAUUACUGGGCGUAAAGCGUGCGCAGGCGGUUUGCUAAGACCGAUGUGAAAUCCCCGGGCUCAACCUGGGAACUGCAUUGGUGACUGGCAGGCUAGAGUAUGGCAGAGGGGGGUAGAAUUCCACGUGUAGCAGUGAAAUGCGUAGAGAUGUGGAGGAAUACCGAUGGCGAAGGCAGCCCCCUGGGCCAAUACUGACGCUCAUGCACGAAAGCGUGGGGAGCAAACAGGAUUAGAUACCCUGGUAGUCCACGCCCUAAAACGAUGUCAACUAGUUGUUGGGGAUUCAUUUCCUUAGUAACGUAGCUAACGCGUGAAGUUGACCGCCUGGGGAGUACGGUCGCAAGAUUAAAACUUAAA
rnacentral:rRNA from 1 species